rnacentral:rRNA from 1 species
GACGAACGCUGGCGGCGCGCUUAACACAUGCAAGUCGAACGGAAAGGCCUGCUUUCCCUUGUGGAUUGCGGGUACUCGAGUGGCGAACGGGUGAGUAACACGUGAGUGAUCUGCCCCCAACUUGGGUAUAAGCCUGGGAAACUGGGUCUAAUUCCCGAUAGGACUGCAGGGUGGUGCCUGUGGUGGAAAACGAUUUUCUAGUGGUUGGGGAUGAGCUCGCGGCCUAUCAGCUUGUUGGUGGGGUAAUGGCCUACCAAGGCGGCGACGGGUAGCCGGCCUGGGAGGGUGGACGGCCACAUUGGGACUGAGAUACGGCCCAGACUCCUACGGGAGGCAGCAGUGGGGAAUAGUGCACAAUGGGCGGAAGCCUGAUGCAGCGACGCCGCGUGGGGGAUGACGGCCCUCGGGUUGUAAACUCCUUUCGACCGCGAGGAAGCCACCUGGUUGGAAGGGUGGUGACGGUAGUGGUAGAAGAAGCACCGGCUAACUACGUG